AGUCAAAGAUAUAAAGGGAAAAGUCUGCUGCAGGAACAUUACUUUACUCUGGGCAGAGUUUUUGCAUCAGCCAAGCACGUCCUGUUCAGCUAAGCAAAGGCAGAGAUAAAAAUAGAGUACCCUAGCAGUCUGUACUUCCCAGUAAUUGCAGACCCCCAGCAGCCCAGCUGGUUGGCCCAGGCUAGAGGAGAAUGUUUCUCGGUGUUGGCUGGGAUUGCAUGAAGUGCAUUGGAAAGCAGGGUGAAGUGCUACAGCUCCUUCAUAGCUAAGGAUUUCACCUCAAGAAAGGGCACAUGAAAGGACUUAGGUACUAAAACUUACAUGUACUGGGAUAGUUAAUAUAAAGAGAAUGCCAAAAAGGUUUUGCCUUGGGUUAAUACUUAAAAUUGUUGGUGAAGGAAUGAUGAGAAUUUGUAGUCAUAACUAAGGUUAGAUGUGGUAAAAUAUAUUUUAUGUUCAAAGCCAGUUUUAAUUUUUACUGUGCCAAGAAUGAUAAAGUCUGUAAUACUUUUUCAAGGAUUUAAGAUUUCUAAUUAUUAUUUAUUAAUCAGGAAUAUUUAGAAAUGCCUAAAGGGGCCAAGCUGAGCCGGAGUUUUUUUGCACUGGUGUAACAUGCACAGAUAAAAACCUGUUGUAAGCCUGUUUGGAUUAUUAUUAUUUUAAUCUUCUUUUCAAGUGUGUUCCUUCCUCUGUAGAAUAAAUUUUACAACCUAUAAACUGCUUUAAGAUCUCUGGUGGUGGUGAGAAAUGAAGCAAUAACCCCCUCUUACCCCUCUCUUGUAGAUCACCAUGUAACUUCAUAAUCAAACUUUUUAAUUUAAAGUUGUACUGGAAACACUGUUUAACAUAGUUCUGUGGGCCUUUUCUAGGUCUUUCACAUUAUGAAGCCCACAACUUAAUCCCUAAGGGGACAAAAGGGAUGUAGAUACACGCUAUUGAAUUAAAGUCCUGUGUCAC